AACAACAUAUUUAUGCUACAAAUUGAUAAGAAACCUUCGAUACACCGGUUCACCGCGUCGUCCUGAAGAGCUCAACCAUCUUUUGUCCAUAAGUAAUUCAUUAUUGAUGGCAUAAGUGCGCAUUAAGCGAUUAACACAUAAAUUCAGGAGACUAACAUGUCUAAAGCAACUGGUAUCGUUAAGUGGUUCAACGAUGAGAAAGGUUUCGGUUUCAUCACUCAAGACAACGGCGGUGCAGACGUAUUCGUACACUUCCGCGCAAUCGCUGGUGACGGCUUCAAAUCUCUAGCUGAAGGCCAGAAAGUAGCAUUCGAUAUCGAGCAAGGCCAGAAAGGUCCUCAAGCUGCUAACGUUGAAAAAAUCUAAUUAGAUUUUAAACGUAAAAAUUCAAAAAGGGUGCAUUCAAUGCGCCCUUUUUUCA
rnacentral:sRNA from 1 species